GACGAAGGGGGCUAGCGUUGUUCGGAAUUACUGGGCGUAAAGCGAGUGUAGGCGGUUGCCCAAGUCAGGUGUGAAAGCCUUGAGCUCAACUCAAGAAAUGCACUUGGUACUGGGUGGCUAGAGGACCGGAGAGGAUAGUGGAAUUCCCAGUGUAGUGGUGAAAUACGUAGAGAUUGGGAAGAACACCAGUGGCGAAGGCGGCUAUCUGGACGGUUACUGACGCUAAGACUCGAAAGCGUGGGGAGCAAAUAGG
rnacentral:rRNA from 1 species